rnacentral:rRNA from 1 species
UACGUAGGGGGCAAGCGUUAUCCGGAUUCACUGGGCGUAAAGGGAGCGCAGGCGGCACGGCAAGUCUGGUGUGAAAACCCGGGGCUCAACCCCGGGACUGCAUUGGAAACUGCCGGGCUGGAGUGUCGGAGGGGUAAGCGGAAUACCUAGUGUAGCGGUGAAAUGCGUAGAUAUUAGGAGGAACACCAGUGGCGAAGGCGGCUUACUGGACGAUGACUGACGCUGAGGCUCGAAAGCGUGGGGAGCAAACAGG